rnacentral:rRNA from 1 species
AACGAACGCUGGCGGCAGGCCUAACACAUGCAAGUCGAGCGAACCGCAAGGUUAGCGGCGCACGGGUGAGUAACGCGUGGAUAAUCUGCCCUUCAGUUGGGAAUAACUCAUCGAAAGGUGGGCUAAUACCGAAUGAUACUGCGAGACUUUGGUCGAGCAGUCAAAGAGAGCCUCUGCUUGCAAGCCCUCGCUGAAGGAUGAGUCCGCGUACCAUUAGCUAGUUGGUAGGGUAAUGGCCUACCAAGGCGACGAUGGUUAGCUGGUCUGAGAGGAUGAUCAGCCACACUGGAACUGAGACACGGUCCAGACACCUACGGGUGGCAG